rnacentral:rRNA from 1 species
GACGGAGCAACGCCGCGUGAGUGAUGAAGGCUUUCGGGUCGUAAAACUCUGUUGUUAGGGAAGAACAAGUGCUAGUUGAAUAAGCUGGCACCUUGACGGUACCUAACCAGAAAGCCACGGCUAACUACGUGCCAGCAGCCGCGGUAAUACGUAGGUGGCAAGCGUUAUCCGGAAUUAUUGGGCGUAAAGCGCGCGCAGGUGGUUUCUUAAGUNUGAUGUGAAAGCCCACGGCUCAACCGUGGAGGGUCNUUGGAAACUGGGAGACUUGAGUGCANAANAGGAAANUGGAAUUCCAUGUGUNGCGGUGAAAUGCGUANAGAUAUGGAGGAACACCAGUGGCGAAGGCGACUUUCUGGUCUGUAACUGACACUGAGGCGCGAAAGCGUGGGGAGCAAACAGGAUUAGAUACCCUGGUAGUCCACGCCGUAAACGAUGAGUGCUAAGUGUUAGAGGGUUUCCGCCCUUUAGUGCUGAAGUUAACGCAUUAAGCACUCCGCCUGGGGAGUACGGCCGCAAGGCUGAAACUCAAAGGUUUUNNCNGGGGGAA